rnacentral:lncRNA from 1 species
CUUAUUCUCAUUUGUUUGUUAGUCCAAUUAGAUGAUAUUGAACGGUUGGAUUUAUAAAAUUUGAAAUCUUCAUUCGAAAUAGUUAGUUUUAGUCAAACUUCAUUGUAACACCCCAACUAAAUUGUCUAGAAUAUUUAGUCGAGAUAUUAAUAAUUGAAACCUGAGUACAUUAAAAUUACAGAAUAAUUAAUUGUUUUGCAAAUUAUCACGAGAAUAAUGUGAUAAUCAAUACAAAACAGCUGAAAUGAUAACUGAAAUCUAAAUAACAGAUUAACAAAAACAAAGAAGACGAAGGUCUUCUAAUCCAAUAAUCCAAGCUCAGCUUCGAUCAUCAGUUCCUGUCUGGUCCUUGCUCUGAUUAACCUGUUUACCUAAAAAAAAUCGAAAGGCGUGGGAUGAGACUACUAAGCCUCAGUGAGCUCCUACUACCCAACUAAUGGUGACUACACCGGGGCAACUGAACUAAUAGUUCUCUCAUUCUAAUCUGAUCCUAAGUAAUAAUCCUUAUAAUCAAUCCAUAACAUAAUUUUAUAACAUAACAUAAAGCAUAAUAAAUAAAUGGUGUAACACAGAUUAAUUAUCUUGUUCAUUUUAUCCUCACAGGAUCACUCUGAGGUAAGCCGGUCCAGGAGUGUCUGGCCUGGUAUUGCCGAUAAUAAUGUGCGUCUGAAUACAACAUGAGCUUACAGUUCUUAUUACAUGAUUUUGGAUUCUGACUGAAUCCCCUGACAUGGUGCUAAUGACCAAGCAAUCUGACAUUGGUAAUAAUGACCAAGCAUCCAGAUAAAUACUGAUAAAUAAUUCAUAAUCCUGAUAUUUAAUCCUAAACCUGAUUGUUUUCCUACCCAAAGAAAAUAAGACCUUCCCGGGGCAAUUCUAACCAUCCUGAAUAUCCUGAUUCAAUUCCUAUGUCUACUAAUUUUAAUACAUGUACGAAAGUCCGUAAUUGUGGAAUUUAGUCGCUUAUUGUUUUAAUAAAAUAAUGUUCCUAAUGAAGGGUUUUUCAGUUAAUGUAAAAUAGUCAUUUUACCUCCUAUACAUAAGCCAAAAGGUUUUUCAAUAAAGUACCAUAAUGUAUCGAUUCAAAUGAUUUUGUACCAAUAUAUUCUGGACUUAUAUUUCUUCUAAAAUACGAGCUUGCAUCAACUCAAGGUGGUUUGCACCGAUGCAAUCCUCUCUCAGGUUCAGGCUGAACCAAUUCAACUAGGUGAUGCACCGAUGCAUCUUUCCCUUGUUUUAUGAAGAUAUAUCGGGGGGCUUAUGCACCGGUUCAUGACAAGCAUGUACCGACUCAAAAUACCAGGAUAUGCAUAUUUUUAGUUAAGGAGGGAACAUGCACCGGUUCAAGUUCCGUUGAACCGACUCAAACACGAAAUCCUGCAUAAUCCUAAAGGAACCCACCUGAAUUUGACACUUUAACAGUACCAUUGACAUAUCCGGAGUUUGCUGAAAAACAGAAAUUGCAGGCACAACACACAACACUUCAAACCCNNNNNNNNNNNNNNNNNNNNNNAAACCCGUAGCCCAAAAUUCUGCAUCAGACCCCGAACUUAAGAUGCGUCUCCUGAACUCAAUACUGCUCCAAAAUUUAUGAAAUUUGCGUUGAAACGACCGGACUUUCGUUAGCUAACCGUAGAAACAAACCCCAUACGAAACAGAUUUACAGAGAGGGAGGAAUCACCUUUUUAUUGCAGAUCUGUCCUUGAAUACGAAAAAUCACUCAAUCUCCUCCAAAACUUGGAAUAAUCAAACCCAUGGUCUCUUGACUAUUGAAAUCCAUGUUUCUUACAACGUUUCACGUUCUCCACACGAGUAUAAACACACACGCAGCAUCAAAUAAGGAAUAGAUGAGGAUUGGGUGUUAGGGUUUAAUAUCAAAUUGGAAAGAAAAGUAUGAAUCACUAACCAUACCUUAUUUUCUAUGCACCCAAAGGCUUAAUCCUUGAUUUAUGACAUCUGGAGGUCCCAAUUUCUCUUUCAAUUCGUACUCCCAAACUUCAAUUUGAGAAGAAAAAAACAAGACUUGACCACGGAAGAUGCAUUUUCGGCCAAGAGGGGAGAGAAGAAAGAAGUGUAGCUUUCUUGCUUUGAUGGAGAUUCCAUUUCUGAAAUUGCAUGUUAAUUUAGAGUUAAUUUGAUGAUGGUAGCUAGGGAAAUGAAAGUGGUUGUGGCGGGAGAGAGGAAGGGAGAGUUUAUGUUUCCUGACUCUGAACUUCAA